rnacentral:lncRNA from 1 species
GUUUAUUGACCACCUCUUUCAGGUCGUUGGUCUGCACCUCUCGGGUCAUGAUCUCCAUCAUCUUCUUGCGGAUCUGGCGCACCUGCUGGUGCUGGGCGUACUUCAUCGUUCUGCAGAUCGGCAAGACUCACUUCAAAAACACGACCUUUGAGGCCAUCAGAUGCGAUUUUGGUUCCUUGAGUUCUCGUGCCCAACAUUUUCCCAAUAUUCCUUAUAUUGAACAUAGCUGGUGCUUUCACAUCAUACCAAUCAUUUUUAGAAAAUGGGUCAACCACUUUCUUCUUGGCUCCCUUUUUGCCUCCUUUCGUAAGGCGCUUGUUCUUGCCGACCGCCAUGGUGCCGCUCAGAGAGCCAAAAGGGUGCACUGCAGUUCUAAGAAAAGUUUAGUGAGGACAAUGAAUCCCCCACUCCAAACUUCCCUGCAGAGAAGUCCACAACUGUGGUUACUGAUCUGCCUUAGAACCCCUGCCAUGCUCGGUCAGGAGGGACCAGCAUGUGGGAAGAGUGGCCUUGGCAGUUAA